AGUGGUAUUGCUGGGUCAUAUAGUAAUUCCAUUCUUAGUUUUUUGAGGAACCUUCAUACUGAUUUCCAUAGCGGUUGUACUAUUUAAAAUUCUACCAAUGAU
rnacentral:pre_miRNA from 1 species